ACGCCCCACACCUUUUGUUGUAGACACUAUUUGAUUUACGAUAAAAGGUGUGGGGAGUGGCAGACGAGCGAGUAAUAUGCACUUAACUUGCCCUUGAGAUGAGAACAACUAUGGAGACAUAGCUAAUUCUCAAUAUGCUCACGAUGGUGAAAUCCCAAUGUGAGGAAAGAUUUAUCGCUCAAGGAGAGGGGUGUAUCCUAUCAGGUAGUUGGUAAGGUAACGGCUUACCAAGCCUAUGACGGGUAGCCGGUUUGAGAUGAUGAUCGGCCGCGAUGGGACUGAGACACGGCCCAUACUCCUACGGGAGGCAGCAGUGGGGAAUAUUGCACAAUGGACGAAAGUCUGAUGCAGCGAUUCUGCGUGGAGGAUGAAGCAUUACGGUGUGUAAACUCCUUUUCUGGUAGAAGACGAAUGACGGUAUACCAGGAAUAAGGGACGGCUAACUAUGUGCCAGCAGCCGCGGUAAUACAUAGGUCCCAAGCGUUAUCCGGAUUUACUGGGCGUAAAGAGUCUGUAGCCUGAUGUGUAAGUCUGUUUUCAAAUACUCCGACUCAAUCGGAGAAAGGGGAUAGAUACUGCAUAUCUGGAAGUUAUUGGGGGUUAGUGGAAUUUCCGGUGGAGCGGUGAAAUGCGUUGAUAUCGGAAAGAACGCCGAAAGUGAAAACAGCUAACUACAAUAAACUUGACGGUCAAAGACGAAAGCUUGGGGAGCGAACGGGAUUAGAUACCCCGGUAGUCCAAGCUGUAAAUUAUGCAUGCUAGAUGUUUUGUCCCGA
rnacentral:rRNA from 1 species